GGUUCCUGGCUUACUGAGGGCACUCAAUGUGCAUCCCCCCAGGGCUUCUCCUCUUUAGCAAAGAAGCUCCCUAACCUUGAAAGACUUAUUCAUGGAGAUGGGGCAUUUUAUAACCUGUCUCCUUCUAGAAGUAGCUUUAAGGCUGCCUGUCACCAGCUAUUAGAACCAGUUACGUGACCAUCCAACUGAUCAGAUCUUGGUGGAAAGAUGGGCGUUCUCACGGGUGAACAGGGGAGAAGAACGAAUGCAUGGAUUCCUGUUUCGGCUCAUACUUCAGAUUCUGACCGUGUGGAAGAAAGGACGAACAGAAGGUCAAGUAGAGCUCUUACCUGGAACUCGCUGUUCCAUGAAGUACAGUGAAAGAAUCCAAAAACUUAGGAGAGGCAUACACACCUUUUGUGGAUUAUCUGCUCAAAUCAAAUCCAGGAGGAUCAUGCAUCAAUGUCCAAACUCAUGUGGUGUCAAGACUUAAUGCUUUACUAAAAGGUCCCGGUCAAGAGGGAUACCUGGAGGGGCAAACAGAAACUAGACGUAUCAGAGGAUGCUUCCGGGUGUGGAGAGUGUAUCACCCCCAUUAAGGAACCUGGAGGAGACAGGUUUCCAGCAAUGGAAGAAGGCUCCGAAGAACACAUGAGAGUACCCACAAGCAAAAAAGUCAGCUGUAACUUACUUUCCUUCCUCCCUGUGCCCCGGUUUCGGAGGGGUUAACCAUGUGUGCACAGAGGAAAGGGCACGGCACAAAUGGGGUGAAGGGGGAAAUGGCUAACGACACCCUCUUCUCUGACUACAGGUUUGUUCAUCUGCAGGAGGCCUGAGCUGAGGAAGGGGAGGAGGCCCAAAUGAAACUGUGUUCGGAGUUUUGACUAUCACAUGAAAUUGUACAAAAAUGAAGUUACUUUAGGAUUCUAUCCCAAGAGCUUUGCUUGCUCAAUAAGAUUGUGACAGUUGUGAUGGUCCAGGCUGGAGAUGUCUGGGGCCUUCAUUAGCAUGGCGGGAGCUGGAGGAGGAUGAUGAGGCACAGAAAGAGGAGACACUGAGCAAUGCUAAUAACGUUUUGUCUGUUUUGUAUUUGGUUGCAAAACAAAGUGAUGUUAAAAAAUUAUUCUUUGAAUGUUUUGUCUUCCACCUUAUCACAGGUCACCUAAUAUUGAUCACAGUGUGGGAAAUGAAUUAGCACUCUCCAUAGCCUAUCCAAUCAAUAAUUCUGCUGGAUUUACCUCAAGAGCCCAAAACUGACUUCCUCUAAUCUCCUGUCUCCUAGAAUCUUGGCUUUAUUAGCCCUUAAAUCACAGUUAAAAUAUAUAUCUCAGAUCUCAUAUAAGGCUUUCUUCCAUCCUCCCUUCUUUUCUUCCCUCCUUCCCUCUCUCCUUCUUUUUUACAGCAAAGUUAUGUAACUUUACAAAAGAAAAGCAAAUGAACAAUAAACUCAAUCUCCUCCAUCCUAUUCCCUCAUUUUGCUUUCCAGUGAAAUUGUAUUCAUGUUAUCCCGUGUGGACAUCCUAUUCUGUGUCCCGUUCUUCCCUAAGCAUUAUUUCUAGAACUUGAUUGUGUUUUGACAUAGUCCACAUGUUUGCAUAGCUAAUGUCUAUAGGUUCCCUGACAUGGAAUUAUAGCAUAAUUUCCUUAGCCUGGGUGUUGGGGGCUGGAUCCUCUCCUAUUUUUCUCACAGGACCUCAGCACUUGCCAGUGCUCCCCUCAAAGCAGGCCUCCCCUCAAUACGGCCCAGACAGGUUCUCUUUUAGCCUGAACAUGUUGGUAACUAAUUAAUUUUGCUACCUGUUGGAUUAUUUACUUGGGACUGUACAUAAAAGAGAAAUUUCUGGCACAAAGGCUAAGAAGGAUCUGUUAAGAAAUUUUUAACAUUUUGCCAGAAGACAAUAAAAAAUGUGAACCAGUCAAGAGUUGGUUCAUCUAAGGACAAGAUCAUAAAUGGAUGAAAUGUUAGAAGAUCCAGGGGACUUGUUUUUCAUCAAGCUCCAGGAAGGCCUUUCUGAUAUAGUCCUAAAAAUUACUUUUUAACCUUGUUGUGAAAGUCUUAAUUUGAUUUUAAAUUUUUUGCUUUUCAAUGACAAUUUUAGCUGCCUGGCAGACUUUCAGGUUCUCUUUUUUGUGAGUGUUUGACAAACUUUUCUUACAACUAAUUGAACCAGUCAAAUCAGUGAAAUUCUUUUGUGUCAUUUUUUUUUUUUGACUAAUAGUAUUUUUUAUCCUUCCACUGCUUUUUAACAUUUUUUAUUAUGGAAAAAAAUUAAAACUAAAAAAAAAAUAAAAUAGAAAAAUGAGCAUUCCCUUACCUGUCACCCAGCUUCAAUGACCAUAAUUUUCUGCUCUUCCUGUCUUAUCUUUCUCCCUUAUUCCUUUUUUCCUCCCCAUUCCAGUAUUUUAAGGUAAAUCCCAGACAUCAUAUGAUUUCAUCCAUAAAUACUUCAUGUGCAUCAUAUUUUAUUAAAUGACCAUGGCACAAAGGACAAAGCAAAUGGGUUAAAAUGUAAACGGUAAGUGAAUCUGGGUAGUGGGGAUUCAAGUGUUCUUUGUACUACUUUUACUUUGGCAAAUUUUCUGUAAAUUUGAAAUUAUGUCCAAAUAAAAACUUAAACAAAUGAA